rnacentral:lncRNA from 1 species
GGUUCAGUGAUUUCUGUUUUUAAGGGAUCCAGAGGCCUCAAGAUGUUUUUACCCAUUCUUGGAAAGUGAUGCUACAAUGGGACACUCACCCUCACACAUUCCCUUACAAGAACUGUGAACUGUGGGUGCUACUCUUUCCUUCCUCUGCCCUUACUGCUACCACUCUUGUAGCACAGAUAUACAAGGAAGGGGGAAUACUGUUAGCACUGUGAGAAUAAUAUGCAGUUGAUAAGCAAAGAGGAAGAACCAAAAAACCUUCCAUAACUUACUGAGGCAUUUCUUAUAUCUAUUCUCAAAAGAGAUGUGCACUUAAAAGUAUAGAGUGAUGUUUGUAGAGAGGGUGUGGGUACAAGAGUCAAGGGAGGAGAAACAAGAAGAAGCAAUAAGAGGAGCAAUGCUUGAUAGAAACAGUAAUAAAAGGAAAAAUCAGAUCUAAGUCUGUGUUGUGUGGCAUAUAAUUCAAGAUUUAAUCUAAAUGUACCAAUUUCUCUCACAAAACAAUAGGUGAUAUUCCAACCUGUCACAUUCAAUGGAGGAAAAAUAUUAUCUGCCACCCACUGUUUCCCGCAUUGCUGGAGUUAAAAACCUUCUCUUUGCUUGCAGAGAGCUUUAAUUUGAGCCCUAUGUUUUCAGUCUCUCAGAUCAAGUUCCUCAUCUCUCUGAAUUCUCCUUAGAUUCAAGACUGGCGUGAGAAUAACAGCGGCAAUCACUUCUGUUAACAAUGGCAAAUACAAAAUAAGCAGGAAAGAGACACAUUCCUUGCCAGACCUAGUAAUUACAGACUUGGCUUGGUUCAUGCAAGUUCAACUCAAUCCAGAUUUUUCUGUAAAAGCUGAGAGUCCAAAUCCAGCAGAGAAAUGUUGCUGAACUGCACAAAAGAUGAAUUCAACCCAGACAGCACAUUCAUAUUGCCUGCAUACUCCUCACAUGCACAUCUCCUUUUGGGUUUGUCAUGCAGGAAGUCACACACAGAUUAGAAACCACCAACAGAAGAGCUUUAUGGGGAACAUCUGGACAUUUCUGCCAGUCCCAGGGAGGCCCGUGGAGUGGAAGGCUACAGCAGGCACUGCAGGUUCCCUAAAUGCUCUCUUCCCCGGACAAAACGAAUUCUUAUUGACAACAAGUGGGCUCCAGGGUUGAAACUGGCAGCCUGCAUACUCUUCCUGUUGCUCAACAGUAUCUGCAGGGCAGAUGUGUUUGCAUACAACAAUACCAGAACAUAUUUUCAGUGAGUGUUCAUGAGCUGUCUGCUGGAUGGUAGCCCAGUGUGCCUUCAGGUUCAGCUCAAAUAAAGGAAAGAGAUGGGGUGCUUCAGAAACAUCCACUGCAAAUGCACGUAUGGCCAAAGCCUCAGCACAAGAAAUAGGAAGAAACACAGGAGUUGCAUCCUAAUCAAUGUGCUUUCAUUGGGAGCCUUCAGCACCAGUCUUACCUGUUCCCUACCUGCUUAUUUGAUGGCACUCACAUGGCUGGAGAGCCAAACCCUUCAGCCCAAAGAAGGUCUCUGGAGCUUGGUCCAAGUCUGACAGCACAGCCAGGUCAUCCUUCCACGAAAGCAGGGAAGCACGGGCACCGCUUCCCUCCAAACCACCAGACAAAGCAGCUCGUGUGUGGGAGAGGAAAAAUUCUGCUUUCCAGAGCCCCAGUGACUUGUUUUUCCAUCCUGACGGCUCGAGAAGUGAGGAUCUGUGCCUGAAAAUCUGAGAGAAAGUAGGCUGUAUUUGUGUGUGGAUGAACAGCAAACAGACACCUUCCCCCUGUACCAGCCCCCCGGAUGGCACUGAGUGUCUUCAGUAGAGAACGUGAUGACCUGCAAGGGAGCCUCAGAAGGCCAAACGAGAUGUGUGGUAAAGAAGAAAACACGUUUAAUAAAACCUGUUGCAAAGAGAAGAAAUGAGGAGGAGGAAGGCAAUGAGAAGAAGGCAAUCUGUGACCAAGAAAUGACAGAAGCCUUCUGCUUAUAAUGCUAACUUUUGAAUAAAAGUAAGAGUAAUUGUGUUAAAAGUCAGUCACUUGUUCCUCAAGUAUCUACUAUAUUUUUUCAACUUCUGGUUUAAAAUAUUUACAGCCAUUUUAACGUAGAUUGACACCUAAAUCAGCCACUCAUGUUCAACUCAGUGGAGUCUGCACUCCAGAAGCCUUGGUCCAUACAGUUAACACAGGUUUCUUACAUGGUCUGUGGCAAAAGGUAGACCCGUGUCUGCAAGUGGUCAGGGACAUCUAAGCUAAAGGAUCAUUCCUCUCUACCGACCUUAUAAAGAAAAAAUGCUGAAAUUCAAUACCUGCUUUCUCUUGACAUCCAAGCUGAGUCUUCUGUAGAAAGACACUAGUGGAGACUCUUCGUACUGAGCAGUAACAGUAGUUUCCUGGUAGAGUAUCUGUCAAGGAAUAGAAGAUCCUCUUUGGCCAUGUUUCCCACAGCCUCAUUGCGUGACCUAGUUAGGCUACAUUACUUCAUCACUGCGCAAAGUAGAAAAGGACCAGAAUUACCCAUCCCAGCUUGUGCUCUACUACCUGCUAGGGCAGAGUCAAGAUCCCAUGUGUACUCAGCCAGAAGUCUUCACCUUCUGCCUAGCUGCCCAGUGUCAACAGGAGGGAAGAGCAUGAUGAUACCAUGAGCUUCUCACUUGGACUGAGAAAUCUUCUGUGGAGGUAGAGUUUAAGCAUCUGGACUUACCAAAGGCGGGUCUCUCCAGUCCUUGUCCAGAGAAAGUAAAAGAAGUGCGCUUUUAAGGUGCAGCCACUGCCCUGAAUUUCACAGAACUUUCAUCUGACCAAGAGAAAAUAAGUUGACUUCAGCUAAAAUUAGACUUGAGGUUGCCACCUCUGAACUUCAGGAAGAAUUUAAGAGAACUGGACCACUUGCAUCAUUAUGCCAAUAAAAUGAUACUUCUCUCUCUUUCAGCCUCUUUGUUGAGGUAUGUUGAUGAUUAGCCACCUAUGACCAGGGCAAUAUCUGCCAGGGAUUUUUACACGUUUAAGUUUCUUCACAGCCUAUAUUCUCAUUGUAGGCCAGGAGAAGCCACUGUGUUAAUGAUGGCCCUCAUAAGAAUGAAUUAUGGCCCGAGGCCAGAUUCAACAGUUUCCCAGAGACAGGAUGGCCGUUAACUGGGCAGUAGCCUGGGGUUUAUGUUUCACUACAAACCUUCUCUGUGCACAUCAGCAAGAUGUUUGAGCCAAAUCAAAGGAGUUGAGCUUCUCUGUUCUCACACUGCCAUUGGUAAAAUGACAGUCAUGACUCUUCUCCACUUCAGAGGGAUGUCGCAAGGAUAUUACAUGAAAAAAAUAUGAACAUGAGUAUUUAGAUGAACAUCAGAAAGUAUAAAACUCUCCCUGCUCCCAGGCUAGCAUACCCUUUCAUCUUUUUGGGGCCAAUGGUUUGAAGUAAAAGUUGCUGUUAACAUGUAUUUGCCUUAGCAAGGUGUUAAAGUCAUUUCUUUUUAAAUGGUGAUUCCUACACACAACCUGUUCCCAAGUUCCAGGUCCGGGUGCAAGUUCUAUUCCUGUGACUUGCAAAGCCACCGGGGACUCACAAGUGGCUCUGGCGUUGCAAAUCCACUCUUCCUGGAAAGAUUUCCUGUUCUUAUCAGGGAAGGAAACCUCAUUUAAAUUUGAAUAUUCACUUCCAAUGGUACAGAUUGUUAAAAGAUUGUUCUGCCAACAGAAUAACACAAAACUAGCAAUGUGACACUGUUAUACGAGUAAAAAUGAAGGAUGAACCAUCAAUCUGGAUUUUUAAAUGAUCUCUGUUAGAAUCUGUCACUGGUAAUAAAUGAUUGAUCCAUUUCCUAAAUAUAUAACUUUUAGCUUUUUCCUCCUCUGUUUUCAAUUUGCCUUUACUUCUCAGUCCAUCUUUUUCAGUACAAACAUGUUUUCCCCCAACACUUGUAGGACUUUUCUUUUGUGUAGGGUCUUAGUCAUCUCUGCCAGCGCUGUGCUUCCCUCCAAUGAUGAAGAAAGCAGCCCGCUCCAUGAUACUGUUGUAUGUAUGCAUUAAGUGAAAUCAGGCUGCUUUUAUAACCUAUUUCUAAAACACUCAGGGUAAUUUACUGUUGUUUUUGCAAAAUUGUGAAUAACAGAGAAUAACAAUAUUUUGAACAAAUGACGAUAUUCUUCGUCGACGGAGAAUAAACAGGCUUGUUAGGGUGUAAUUGUUGUGCAUGAGUUUCUGGUUAGUUGUUGCUAUUUCACAGGGAAAUAGGACGCACUUGAAAGCUUCCGCAUCACUCCAGCUCCAAUGCUGGUACAGAAGAUGAAUAUUUUCAAGGAGAGGUAGAAAUGUCGAUUCCACUAACAAAUUUACAGUGCAAUAUAGCGAAAGAAUAAAACACGGUUUAUGGGUUGCUUUCUCCAGCUUAUUUUUAUCUCACAGAAUAAUACUUUAAAAGCACCCUAAGAAAAUGUUUCUCUUCCUGCUGAACUAUCUUUAUUUUUAGAUUGGAUACUUACCCUAUACAACUAUUUAGUCUGAUCCAGCUGAUGCAAAAGGUUGCUCUUUCAGUGUACAGCCUGCAUUGUCCCUGCUUAAACUGAAGAUGUGGGUGCAUGCUUUAUGAACCAGCCAUCUAAACUUGAAAGUGUGCUGGAGGAGCAGAGCAAAGAAAUUAAAUCUUUUAAAGUCCUCAUCACAUUGGGUUAAUUUAGCAGGCCGUGCUUCUGUUCUGUUUGCAUGACCACAGAGUGCUUGAUUGACUUUGACAUUUGAGUGAAAUGGAUGGAUAUUAAUGAAAGGAUGCAGAUAAGGAGCUGGAGAGAUAGAUACCAGGAUCAGACUGUUAAUGCUUUUACAUUCAAACUUUAUACAUGUGUAUAUAUAAAAAAAUGCUUUUGCAAACACCAUAAUGUUCAUUACACUAUUCAGAAAAGGAGGUUUACUGUGACAAUCUGCUGAAAACUGCUUCUGUGAUGAUAACAGGAAAUCAGUCACUUAUUUUGCUGGAUUGUUCAGAAAACUGACAGACAGGCUCCGACUGAAUCUAAGCAGCCUGCACCUGGUCAGAAAACCGUGCAAUGUGACAACAGCCUCUGUGUUGCUAAUAAUUAUGCACCAAUUUAAUCAUCAACCUCAUGCUUAGCAAAAUGAAAGGAUAAAACUGGGUAAAUGAUGCAGCUAUAGGUAUUUAAAUCAUGCGGCAUUUUUUGGUAUGGUGAUGAGUGGCUCUUUUUUCUAAUUCUAGAUGAUGCUGACAGUAUUUAAAAUUGAGGUUAGAAAUUACAGCAAGAAUCUGACUUGUGAUAUGUGUCAUAAGAUGUGGCAUUUUGCUCUGAAUCGAAUAUAGAUUGUUGGUCGCUUUAAUCAAUAGCUCCGAAAGACCACAACGCAAAUAAGAUUAAAACUACUCAUUCCUUCGUAUGCAUAAUGGCCGCUUCUUUGAUUCCCAUUUAGCAUUUAAAUUAGUUCAGCCACAAAGCACAGAGUACAGAUGCAAGUUUGAUUAUAUCAUUAGCGAAGUUCUCCUGGAUCAAUUUAAAACUAUUACACUUCAGAAAGAAUUAAGACGGAGCUCUACGGGAAGAUAUUUCCAGGCACAGAUCUUGUCUAUUGUCAUGUAUGUGAGUGCUUUGGUUUUUUUUUUUCCUCCUACAAGGAAGACGCACUAUUAAUUCUUUCAAAAGUCUUUACCAUGCUAUUCCACCACAUAGAAUCCAUGUGGCCAUCUUUGUGACCAUCGUGCCUCAUACCUGACAGUCUUUUGGCUCUGGUUUUCACUCCGAUAAGAAGAAACUUCACUUGAGUACA